rnacentral:rRNA from 1 species
AGCAGUCGCCGCGGUAAUACGUAGGGUGCAAGCGUUAAUCGGAAUUACUGGGCGUAAAGCGUGCGCAGGCGGUUUGUUAAGACAGAUGUGAAAUCCCCGGGCUCAACCUGGGAACUGCAUUUGUGACUGGCAGGCUAGAGUAUGGCAGAGGGGGGUGGAAUUCCGCGUGUAGCAGUGAAAUGCGUAGAUAUGCGGAGGAACACCGAUGGCGAAGGCAGCCCCCUGGGCCAAUACUGACGCUCAUGCACGAAAGCGUGGGGAGCAAACAGGAUUAGAUACCCCUGUAGUCCCUGUCUCUUAUAC